rnacentral:rRNA from 1 species
ACGGAGGGUGCAAGCGUUAUUCGGAAUUACUGGGCGUAAAGGGCGUGCAGGCGGGUUGGCAAGUCUGAUGUGAAAGCCCGGGGCUUAACCCCGGAACGGCAUUGGAAACUGCUUUUCUUGAGUUCUGGAGAGGAAGGGAGAAUUCCCGGUGUAGCGGUGAAAUGCGUAGAGAUCGGGAGGAACACCAGUGGCGAAGGCGGCCUUCUGGACAGCAACUGACGCUGAGACGCGAAAGCGUGGGGAGCAAACAG